rnacentral:rRNA from 1 species
GACAGAGGGUGCAAACGUUGCUCGGAAUUACUGGGCGUAAAGGGCGUGUAGGCGGGAAGGCAAGUCGGGCGUGAAAUCCCCAGGCUCAACCUGGGAACUGCACUCGAAACUGCCUUUCUUGAGUGUCGGAGAGGAAAGCGGAAUUCCUGGUGUAGAGGUGAAAUUCGUAGAUAUCAGGAGGAACACCAGUGGCGAAGGCGGGCUUUCU